rnacentral:rRNA from 1 species
UGGGGAAUAUUGCACAAUGGGGGAAACCCUGAUGCAGCGACGCCGCGUGGAGGAAGACGGCCUUCGGGUUGUAAACUCCUGUCAGGGGUGAAGAAACUUCGCAAGAAGCUGACGGUAACCCCAGAGGAAGCCCCGGCUAACUACUUGCCAGCAGCCGCGGUAAUACGUAGGGGGCAAGCGUUGCUCGGAAUUACUGGGCGUAAAGGGUGUGUAGGUGGCUGAUUAAGUUAAGGAUGAAAUCCCGAGGCUCAACUUCGGAACUGUCCUUGAUACUGGUCAGCUUGAGGCUAGUAAAGGAGAGCGGAAUUCCCGGUGGAGCGGUGAAAUGCGUAGAUAUCGGGAGGAACACCAGAGGCGUAGGCGGUUCUCUAGGCUAGUCCUGACACUGAGACACGAAAGCUAGGGGAGCAAACG